CCGCGAUUCGCCCUUCGGGGUGCCCAGGCGCGAAUACUUUACACUGCGGGAAACCGCGAUAAGGGGACCCCGAGUGCCAGCACCUAGUGCUGGCUGUCCAGCUGUCCAAAUAACAGUUGUUAGCAAGGGCCGGGCAAGACCGGUGCCAGCCGCCGCGGUAACACCGGCGGCCCGAGUGGUAGCCGUUAUUAUUGGGUUUAAAGGGUCCGUAGCCGGCCUAUUAAGUCUCUUGGGAAAUCUGGCGACUCAAUCGUCAGUCGUCCAAGAGAUACUGGUAGGCUUGGGACCGGGAGAGGUGGGAGGUACUCCAGGGGUAGGGGUGAAAUCUCGUAAUCCUUGGGGGACCACCGAUGAGAAAGGCAUCCCACCAGAACGGGUCCUACGGUCCAGGGACGAAGGCUGGGGGCACGAACCGCGAUUAGAUACCCGGGUAGUCCCAGCCGUAAACGAUGCUCUCUAGGUGUCAGGUGCGGUGCGACCGCAUCUGGUGCCCCAGUGAAAACUUGAACCUAGUCACCUGCCGAAUUACAGUUUCAAGGUUGAAACAUUUUUGAAUUGUGCGGGGAAGCAC
rnacentral:rRNA from 1 species